rnacentral:rRNA from 1 species
GAUGAACGCUGGCGGCGUGCCUAAUACAUGCAAGUCGAGCGAAGCGGGCACGGGUGAGUAACACGUAUAUAACCUCCUAUAAGACUGGGAUUACUUCCUGAAACCGGUGCUUAACCGGAUUCUUAUAGAUGGUGCCACUCUGCAUUAGCUAGUUGGUAAGGUAACGGCUUACCAAGUCAACGAUGCAUAGCCGACCUGAGAGGGGGAGCGGCCACACUGGAACUGAGACACGGUCCAGACUCCUACGGGAGGCAGCAGUAGGGAAUAUUCCGCAAUGGGCGAAAGCCUGACGGAGCAACGCCGCGUGAGUGAUGAAGGUCUUCGGAUCGUAAAACUCUGUUAUUAGGGAAGCGGUACCUAAUCAGAAAGCAACGGCUAACUACGUGCCAGCCGCCGCGGUAAUAC